UUCUCUCUCCACCGCGAACUUCCAAUUCCGGCCACCAUUGGUGUUGCCUUUGCCACCAAAAUGAAGCCCAAGCCGCAGGGAGUCAAUCGCCACCCGACUCAGCCGCCAACUCCGGCGGAAACGCCAUGAACGGUGUCGACAACUACCUUUUCUUCCUUGCGUUUUUCGCCGCUCCUCGCAUCCGUAGCUGCUGCUGCCACAGCUGCUGCACUUGCCGACGCCAGCAGC
rnacentral:lncRNA from 1 species